rnacentral:lncRNA from 1 species
UUGUCAGACCAGAAUGAGACAUUGUCCUAUUGUGGAUUACUUGUUUUUUGCUAUUCUGUAACUUAAAGAAGCUUAGCUUUACACAGUCAGUGCCCACCAUAAUAACACCAUAACACCAUUCCCCCAUGAUUUGAAGAUUUAAUUAUAUUGACAUAAAUGACAGACUCUAAGGAGGUCCCAAUAGAAGUCACAGUAGGUUUUUGCAGUGUUUGUAUGUAUGUGUUUGUGUGUCUGUGUGUGUAUAAAAAUGUUAUUCUCUCCAAGCUAACCUGCAUUGAGUAUUUUAGAUUGAAAAGUGCAUACCUUUGAUUAAAUAUGUUAAUAUUCUAUUUUUUAAGAUUAUUUAUUUAUUUAUUUAUUUAUUUAUUUAUUUAUUUGAGAGAGUUAGUGCUCUAGCACAAGCACAGGGGUGGAAGGGAGGGCAAAAGGACAAGGAAAGGGAGAAGCAGACUCCCUAUUGAGCAAGGAGCCUGAUACCAGGCUCUAUCCCAGGAUGCUAAGAUCAUGACCCAAGCCAAAGGCAGAUGCUUAACUCACUGAACCGCCCAGGUGCCCCAAAUAUGUUGUUAAUAUUCUUAUCUCUUCAUGAGUAUUGUGGUCAGAAAUUCUGUUUGUAGGCAGCAACUGGUAGCAAGACCUGGAAUAACCAAUUCCCUAGUGCUCCUGUGCCACCUAUCCCCCAACUUGGACUUGCCUAAGACCUAAACUCAAUCACUAAGUGCAUCAAAAGCUUUGGAGCUUGAAUUUUGGGAUCUGUCUUGAGUUUUCAUUCAAGCUCUGCCACUUUGCUUUUUGUGUUAUUUUGGAUAAUUUAUUUAACCUCUCUAUGCUUGUUUCUUGAUCUUAAAAAUGGGGUAAUCAAAGCCUCUGGCACCUAGGCACUGUUGCGAGAAUUCAAAUGAGAUACUGUGGUAGGAAAGCGCAGCACAGUUUCUGGCUUAUAAUACAUGCCUAAUAAAUGCAUGCUCAUAUUAUGUUCUUCCUUUCAGAGAUACAGUUGAAGGAAAGUUAUUCCCCCAUACCUUGAGUUAUUAUUAGUAGAGCUAUUGGUCUGAAAUUCAAGUUGUUAACGUCACUUUUAACUUCUUGGAAGGACACUGCUUUCCUACACUGAAGACGAAAGGCAAUUCAGUUGUGCCCCCAUCUCCCACCAGCGGAUAGCUCUCUGCCAGUUUCCUCAAGAUUUCCUUUUAGUCACCUCCAGCUGAGUCUAUCCUGGUACAUUCUGUGCUACUUUUAAAACCCUACAAGCCAAGAAAACAAAACACACACACAAGUGGGUUCACAAGCUGAGAACCACAAGCAGAAGCUCCAGGAAUCCACAUGCCUGCAGGCACUGAAGCUGCAAACACCACCUUGUUUUAAAGUUGUGCCCGAGGUCAGAGAACCCCAAGAAACAUUUCUGUUUCAGCCAUAAAGCAUCCAGCACUUGCACACACCAUUGGAGACUCAGCUGCAUUUGCUUCAAUCAGCAGAUUGAACAUCCGGAGCUCAGAAAACAAAGAGCUCCUUGCUAAAGGCAAAAUAUACAAAGUUCCUAUUGGAAAGGGGACUUUUUCCUGGAUCUCUUGCUAUUAAGAUAGCAUUUACUUCUCUCUUGUCUGGAACCACAUCCAAGUUGAUAAGUCCUAUGAAUGAAUGUAAAUAAUACUUCCCGCAGGAGUUUUGCACAUUCUCAAAGCAGAGGGCCAGGUGACACGGGAAGCAGAGAAAUGCCAUUUUGAACAAGUCCUUCAUGUAAGGAAGAGAUCCUGGGGCAAGCUCAUCAGUCUUUUUAAUCCAAGAGGUUUCCUAUUUUUAAAAAUUAUACAGGUAAAGGAACUGGCCCAGAAUCAUGUGUAUGUUUAUACAAAGGGUUGGACUGGUCAAGGGGCUGCAUUUCCUUACUAGGGCCACUCAGAGUUGGAGAGGAAGACCCUGCUUUAGAAAAGAGUCCCCCUUGUAGGUCUCUGCCAGUGAGACAAUAGUAACCCAAUUAAACAAUUCCCGAGAAAGCCAAGAGCAAUGAAGUGAAAACCAAUGAGGUGAAAGCCACUUGGAUCGUUCCUGGAUGAGGCUGCCAAAUCAGUCACAGAGAACCUGAAGAGGGGACAUUUUAAUGAGGAAAAAGUCCUUGCAACAGACCUUGGUCUUCAACUCUCAAUUCCACCUGGAAUCAUCACUAGGCAAGUUGAUCUGAGAGGUUUAUGAAAUUUGAAGAGUUUAAGACUCCCUCAGCCCAAACCAAGCUUUCAUGAGUACAGCCGAACACACAAAAAACUGCAGAACAAACAACAAAAAACCCGAAAAAGUUUCCUGCUCAUCUCACUUUAAAUGUUGUCAUCGUUAGCUUUCACCAUUUAAUUUUUCUGUUGAGCCCGUCUGGCAGCACAGUUUGGACUGUACCUCAUACUUCUCUGCGCACAGACCCUGUCUACAUGCAACACUGCUAUAGAAGCCCUCCAGGUUCCCCUGAGGCACCACACACUCCCAACUCCCCGCCACGGCCCUCAGCUGGCCGGUCCUCAGAGGCUACCCAGAUGCCCUUUGACACCCCAAACCAAGUACUUGAGACAUGCAUGGGACCUACACAUUUGGACUGGCUCAUAGCCAGGGGAUGGAAACAGCUGUCUGUAGUCUGCUAUGAUAUUGCUGUGGCAGGGGCAUACAAAGAAGAUCCCAGAAGCUCUCUCCAGGGCCGAUCUCCACCACAGGCACAGCAGAAUCAGAGUGAGACAACAGGAUUACUCAGCAAAGGUGUCUGAUUGAGCAGGAGCUCGGAGAACACAGAAAAACUUCCUACAAUACUGGAAAACAAUGUAACCUGCUCCUGGUGGUGAGAGGAAUGUUACUGCUCUGAGUCCAUGAGAACAUUCAGAUGCUCACAGUGUGUGGAGCAAGCCAGGAAGCGUCAUGGUUGCCUGUCAGUAGCUUCUUGGCUGUCUGUUGCCACAAUGCCUCCAUCAGAGGCGAGGCCGAUUUCAGGUGAGCAGGUGCUCCUUGGAAUGCACAACACACUCCUUUCAAAAUGUAGGGUCGCGCCCUUUCCAUUUCCCACAAACUGGCCUAUAAAAGCAUUCUUGAAUUUGGGGAAGAAAUCAUGCAAAAGGAACUUGUAUUUCACUACGGUUUCUUUUCCCCCAGGCAUCACAAAGGCUAAAGAGAAAACGACAGUACAAAGCAGGGCAGAGGCUGUUUACCUGAAAACACACAGCUUGAAAAUAAAGGUUGGCUUCCACUCACAGGCAGGAAAUGUGCCCUGAUAUCUCCUUCACCUUUUCAUGAAGCCUCCGCACCCAUAUCCUGACAGCAGGUGGGGGUGAUGGGCAUGUGAUGUGACAAUACCAGCACAAGGGGGCUGAGCUGGGGUAAUGCAUCGGGAUAAACUCUAGUACGAGUGGUCACUAGAGCAUACUGCAUUUUAAGCAGAUAAUGGCAUGGCAGGCCCACUGAGUGUUCUCUUAGCAUUUGCUUUCCAUUCCCAAGUGACCCAUCAUGGGCCACAGCAUUUUCUAUGACAUUAAAAAAGGAGCAGUUGUGAAGGUUUAUAAUUUGAUAAUUGGUAGAAGAAUGUCUGCGAAUAAAAAUUUUAGAGAUGGCCAUUUCAGCUUCCACCAUAACUAACCUAAUGAAAAUUCCAUCUCAUGAAAAUUCCUUUUCAUAAUUCAUGAAAAGCUUCAGAACGUCAAAAUGAAGUAAUAAAAUGUCAGAAAUGAUUCAGGAGCAAUAUAAAAACCAACAGUUUUGUUAUUGGCUGCUGUUUAUGUCACUUGCACUGGCACUUGGUUUCCUUGAUUCUUGGUGGCACUAGACAUACAAUAGAUACUACAAGGUAAUCAAUCGGUGAGAAUAAUCCACACAGAUGGCCACGUGACACUGUUCGAGACCAUCUGACAUAUACAUAUCUUUCUUUCUUUUUAUUCUGUGAGAUUAUGCCUUGGGAUCCUUUUCUAAAAGCAUAAACUCAUCGUGAAAAAGCAAAUCCACAUUUUGUAAAAAGAAGCUUGUUCCUCUGGUAUCUAAAACUUAAUACUUCUUCAUUCUGAUAGACCAUACACGGGUCCUUUUCUAAAAGAAUAAACUAGUCACACACACAAAUAAUGUAGGAAUAUGGCUCCUUUGUUUUAGAAUCUAUAAUAUGAAUUCACUUUUUUAAAUGACGAGUUCAUACUUUAACACACUGUACAUCAUAUCCCAAAUCAGACAAUAAAGGUUUAAUAUGUGAACCCAGAAUGAGUUUCCUGGUUAAGUACCAAUGCCUGCUGGGACAUUAUCACUAAAUAACCUCACCACCAGAAUAUGGACAGAAAUUAGCUCUGACGUCCAGCCUCGGUGUGCUGCAUGCCCUCUGUGGGUACGCUGUUCUAUGGAGAAGGUGCUGGAAUUGGGGCCAGAGUCAGAAAGAUCCUCAACUGUCCUCUCCGGGAUUUUGUACUACCUCCAAACCUGGGGUUGGUCUUUAAUUUCUCUUUAAGAAACCAGAGCCAAGGAGCAGCUGGUACUGUUUACUCGCUUGCUGCACCUGUAGUUCUGCUUUGCAAGGCACAGAAAUGGAUUUUCUCCAUGAAACAUGAAUUUCUAGAGCUGGAGUUUACCCCAUCAUUCACGGGGACACAACACAUCAAAAGCAGGAAAUGAGAAAAUGGCAUCAUUAGCGGACUGUUGAGGCUCUUCUCUUUUGUUUGCCUUUAAAAUUAAUCUCUUCCUGUUCACGACUCAGUGAUGAAAACAUCUUCCUUUGAAGAUGAAUUAACUGAAAAGUGCAUUGAGGAAUUUAAGAUUUAUAACAUAACCACCUUGAACCCUCCGUUCUUGGUGAGCCCGGAGAAUAGCUUCAGGCAGAAAUUAUACAUUCCUGGUUCCUCGAUUUAUGUCAAAAUGAUUUCUGAGCCUGCCAUUCCUAACUCCUACAUGCAACUGGACGCAAUUUGACCAUUAGCACUGGGUAAAAAAAAAAUGUUCUUGAAUUUUUCAUUCCUUAGGUGUGUCCUGGUCAUUUUAGGAGCUAAAGCUUGAGCGUUGCCUGAGUCAGUCCUUGUUUCAAGAAUGCUCUGUUGAGCAGAGCUCUCAAUCCUGACGACUGUGGAAGCAGGGACUUUCCCUGCCAUCAAGAAGCUUAUAGUUCAUCUAGAAAGAUAAAGUCAGUGCAUAUGGUACUUAAAGUGCCUAAUUGUGUAAUCAUAAUUUUAUGGGCGGCCUUCCAUGGCAACUUCUUAAGGUUUCUUCUUGUUAGUUUGACAUUACUGUUGUCCAAUGUAAUAAUCUCUAGAACUGCUCUACCCUGUAAUGCGAACCACUAGUUGUGUCCAGCUAUUGAGCACUUGAUCUAUGGCUAGUGCCAUAAGCUAAAGAGAUAACAUUUUGGAUAUGUUGAAUUAAAUACAUAUUAUUACUACAUUAAUUUAACCUGUUUAUGUAGAAUAUAUAGGUAUUGUUCCCAUUAUAUUCCUAUUAGCACUGCCCUGCACUUUGACUCCCCGUAUUCAUAACCAGAUAAAAUUAAGACAUACAUAAUUUAUUUUUUGUUCCUUCUAUAAUUCAUUCAUCCAUUCACGAUAGGUGCUUUCAUUUCCCCACUUUAUGAAUGAGGAAACUGAAGCAGACGGAGAGGUGUGAGGUGCGGUGCGGGGUUUAAAACUCAGGCAGUCUGACUCAUCUAGCAUGUUUUACUCUAGUAAUCCAGGGAAGAAACUAUGAGGGUCAGAACCAAAUGCGAGGUGGUGGAUUGGAAAAGAAAGAAUGAACUGAGGUGAUAUCACAAAGGCCAUAUGAACACACCACAGUGACCAGUUUGCUGUAUGGCUUAAGGGAAUAGAGACAGAGUUGACUCCCAGAUUCCUGGCUAGGAAGAUGGUAUCACCAAACAAAAUAGGAGACAUGUAGGAGAAUUACAUAUAAGUGAAAAUGAUGAAUUCAACAGUCAAAUUGUAAGAAAUCCAAGUGGAAAUGUCUAGUAGGCAGAGAUGGAUAGAUAGAUAAACAGAUAGAUAGAUAUGGGCCCCAAGGGAGAUAUUUAGGUUGGAUAUAUCAAUUCUUAUUCAUUUGCCCCCCUCAUCCUCUCCCCACUAUCCCCCAAUGGCUUUUGCCUUUUGAAUUACAAGGGAGCUUCAUAGUUGAAUGAAACAUCGUUCCUGACUUAAACAUUCAUUCAAGAUUCUGCACAAUUGGGUCCCAACCUUUUUGGUAAGCUCUCUCCUUCUCUGUGUAACAUACGCUUUGCUCCAGCCAAACUAAUUUAUGUGUAUAACCUUGACACUAGUUGCACUCUCUACACACUUGAAGAAGGAGAUUUAAAGGGAACUGAGCCAUCAACAACACAAAAUGUGGAAUCUAAUGCUUUCCCUAAGACUUAUUAUUUUAAAGAUUUUACUUAAAAAUAAAAUACGGACACGGAGAGAGGCAGAGACAUAGGUAGAGGGAGAAACAAGCUCCCCGUGGGGAGCCCAAUGUGGGACUCGAUCCCAGAACCCCGAGAUCACACCCUGAGCUAAAGGCAGAUGCUCAACCACUAAGGUACCCAGGCGUCUCUUUCCCUAAGAUUUAUAGGAAUUUGUGGUGUAGUGGGAAUAAAGAAGGAGGUUACAUUAACAGAAUCACUUCAAGUAUUAAAAAGUUUCAAUUGCCAUAGACACAGACAGCUCUGCUGGCCAUUAACAGAUGGUAAUAGCAAUUGUUAGUGUGGAAUCACUUUGGAUUUAUGCACAAUUAGAGUUUUUUGUGACCUGAGUGGUUUGUCACUAGGGAGGAUCUGUGAUUAGUUUAUAGCUCUACUUAACCUUCCUGCUAUUGUGUUCUCUCUUUUUUUUGUGUGUGUGUGUGUGUUCUUUUUUAUAUGAGUUAAUCAGUCAUGGAAGUCAGCCCUCUUCCUUAAUUUCAAGGAAACAAACAAACAACCCCAUCCAAACAUAACAAAACAAAACAAAACAAAACCAAAAAAAUAAAAAAAACCUAGUAGCAAAGCAAAACCAAACCAAAUAAAACCAAACAAACAAACAAACAAAUAAACAAAAAAACUUAAUAGCAAAGCAAAACUAAACCAAAACAAAAAUACCACAAUGGAAAAAAAAAAAAAAA